rnacentral:rRNA from 1 species
AGAGAUGUGUGAUGACGCAUAUCAAUAAGCGGAGGAAAAGAAACUAACAAGGAUUCCCCUAGUAACGGCGAGUGAAGCGGGAAGAGCUCAAAUUUGAAAUCUUCAAGGUUUUCCCUUGACGAAUUGUAGUUUAAAGAAGUGUUUUCUGUUAGAGAGGUGGUAAAAGUUCUUUGGAAUAGGACAUCAUAGAGGGUGAGAAUCCCGUAUUUGAUCACUUUCUACUAGCUUUGUGAUACACUUUCAAAGAGUCGGAUUGUUUGGGAAUGCAGUCCAAAAUGGGUGGUAAAUUUCAUCUAAAGCUAAAUAUUGGCGAGAGACCGAUAGCGAACAAGUACCGUGAGGGAAAGAUGAAAAGAACUUUGAAAAGAGAGUUAAACAGUACGUGAAAUUGUCAAAAGGGAAGCGUUUGACACCAGUGUUGUUUUUCCGAAAAUCAAUUACGAAUGUUUUAUUUUUGAGGAGUUAUGACUUCAUCGGCUUGCUCCUUUCUUUAUGAAACUUUCUUAAUGCACUUUUCGGUUAACAAGUCAACAGCAAUUUCUUUUGUUGUAAAAGGGUAUGAGGAAGGUGGCUUUCUUUUCGGAGAAAGUGUUUAUAGCCUUGUGCCUCUGCAAUCGGAGAGAUUGAGGUCUGCAGCGUAGAUCCUUCGGGGUUAGAUACGUUUGUGCUAAGUUAUAGCUUUUCAUAGACAACUUGUUGACUAUGUUUAGUCUUGUAGCUUACUCGCUGACGCUAUUUUACCUACGCUUAGGAUGUUGACGCAUGAGAUAUACGC